rfam:Selaginella moellendorffii unplaced genomic scaffold SELMOscaffold_89, whole genome shotgun sequence.
CCGAUCUUAGCUCAGUUGGUAGAGCGGAGGACUGUAGUGCUUGCUGUUGAGAGAUCCUUAGGUCGCUGGUUCGAUUCCGGCAGAUCGGA